GCAGAGAGGGGUUGUUGGACCUCCUGUCCCCAGCAGAUGGGGCUCAGCAACCUCCCAACCUCCGCAGCCCGCCGGGAAGGGCUCUUGUUCGCAACAGCCACCCUGUCCCUGCUGAACACGCUCGUCCUUGGGGCUGAAGGAAGUUUCCUUCAUUUCUGACUAAACCUGAUCUGUGAAAUGACACUGAGGGAUUUUACCAAAAAGUCUCUGAAGAGCUCCCAGUCUAACUCCCACAACAACAACAAAAUAAGGUGAGGAAUGAGGAGCACGGAGUACUUGGCACAUCCACGUGCUUCGCUACCGAUGGACAAAGUCCCUUUCCAACAACAGGGUAUCAGGUCCCUUGUUCCACAGAGUCCUCUUUUUUCACAGCAAAUUAACAAAACCAGUGUCACCAGCAGAGGUGGGACACCCCAAACGUGUUCAUCAGCUUGUUUCCCAUAGAUGAGGGAAAAUGCAACAGGUUCCAAGUCCUGUACAGCUGCAGACACCCCAGCUCCCCGCAGCUCUGGGUACACCAAGCAACCCCCUGGGGGAGAGGAGGGUUGAGAAACGCCUCUUUCCUCCUGGUGCCACGGUGGUUGUCCUCCCUGCAGAUCUGGGAUCAGCUCCCGGCCCCCCACAUUGCUUCCAGCCGGUCCCAGCUACAAGAGAUGCUUCACUGGAAGCAUUCACACCGAUGAAAGGACAAAACACUUGGGUGAGGCUUUGUCUAAGGAAGGAGCGCAGGAUUUAGAGCAUCGGGCUUGCAAGUUUUUUGCAUUUCACUAAUUGGUUACUGACAGCUGUUACAGAGAUUCGGGCUGCCGCAUCGAUCAGAGAAUACUUGAGGAAAAAGAACACGGUAAUUACUUCAAUCAGCAGGGAAAGGCCGUGAUUCUAAUUGGAUUAAGCGAUCGAGAAGUUACAACAGUCCUCUUGCAAAGUCGCAUGCAAAGACAUUUGGGAACGGGGCACGUACACACGCUCACGCACUGCUUACCCUCCAUGGCUAUUGUUGAGCAGAAUGUGGGGGAAGGUUAAAGAAAUUUACCAAAAGAAGGGAAAAAAGAAAAACAAUAUUAAUAAACUCAGCAGGAAAAAAACCAAACAAACCAACAAAAAAAACCAAACCCAAACCAAAACACGUGUAGCAAUAAGAGACCAGUUAAAAAGCCUGCAACAAAAACGCAUCCUGAACGGUCCCGGCAGUCAUUCGGGUUAGCUCGUGGCCCCUCUGUUAGGGAAGCCCCCGUGUGCUGACAACCUGCUGUGCACCCGCGAGGAGGGGGAAGUGCUCGCCAUGCGCCCAUGCCGACUUUUUACUCAACACAUGGGGAAGAGAUCAUGCAAAGCUCGACAGGAGCAAGGCAGCCUGGCAAAUAGCGAAGUGGGGAGUGGAGUAAAAGGGCCUCUGCAGCAGGGGGGGACGCUUCCUGGGAAACCCUGCUCCUUUAUACCACAAGCCAUCCGCUACCCAGCAGGUGUAGGAAAUGUUGCUUUCGCCUUGCUCUUUUUUUUUUUUUAAAUAAAAGUCACGAUAUGAAACACGCAGCCAGGUAACUGCGCAGCUCCUGUUCACGACGGCAGCCACAGCUGGGGUUAGGAAUUACCAAGAGCCCGCUCCAAAUGCAUUCUACCCAACCCACUAAAUUCCUAUGGCCAUAGGACACAUGAUUUCAGAAAAUGGACAUCUGCAGUUCUUACUAAUCAUCAUUCUCUUUUUUUUUUUUGUUGUUUUUAUAGCUAACAUCAACAUUACUGCUCUGCGAGCUUCACAAGUCAGGGAUUUCCUUCUGUGGACUGGCUGACUUUGCCUCGGUAACUGAAAACUAUUUCUUGGUGCCUGCUGCCCUACAGGUCCCCUGGGGGAUCAGUCAUGGUGCUGAUGAAGGAAUUGCAGUGCAGCACUUAGAGGACUAUUUCUGCACUGGGGAAUAGCAUCAAUAAAGAGUGGAAAUACCCAGAUGGAUGAAAAAUAAUAUGAAAGUGCAGAACGAGAGAUUCGUGUACUUCUUGUGAUACUUCCUGCGGGAAUGAGGUAACCACCCAAACAUCCUAGGAUAUAAACGAGUGAAAAUCUUGUGGACUGCAGCACCUAAAGGACUGUACAGCAAGAUUCCUUGCUCAGAAAGCCAAACAGAAUUCCACCUGUUUAAUGCAAUGUUUGUGUGGCAGCUAUCUGACCCAUCUGCCUUGCACAGACAGCAUCUUCUGUGGCUGCCUGCACCACGUGUGAAACGCUGCAAUGCUUCGUCUUUGCUUCGACUUCUUCAAAAAUAAUUCACAGAUUUCUGUCUCCUUCCUAGAGGUACUUCGUCCAGGACAGCAUGAAAAAUUGCAGGUUUAAUCGGUGUCCAUUAAACACCUAGUGUGCAGCGUCCCUUCUGCAUCAGGUGAUGGGACGGGGUGUAGUCCUGAAGGAAACAACCCUCCCCACCUUCCCUGUUCUCUUCUUACCUCCCAGUGAAUAAAUUUGGUUCAAUUUAAAAUUUAAGAUGUUCUUUACUGCUCAGUUUUUACACAACAGAUUUAUUUUUAUUCAGGAGCUUCCCAUGAAGAGAGAUGUUUGUUUUCUCUUUUUCCAGCAGGAUCUCAGAAUUUUGGAUUCUAUUUAAGACUGCAGCUUGCGAACAUUUCUAUCUCCUCUCAAGUACCGACUGGUUGCGUGUUCUCAAAGGACCAGUUUCAGACAAACUGCUUACACAGAUAACAUCCCCUCUGAAGACUGGUACAUUUCCAUUUCAAUGCCACUGCGAUUUUGUUCUUCAUCUGGGGUCUCUCUUCUAGCACACACAGCAUCAGCGCUGUUCGUACUUGUGCUAACAUGCUUUGAGUUGUAUUUUGUCUUUGUAGAAGCAGCAAUAAAUUUUGAGUCACGAGCGUGUUGCUGUUACUCUAGGGAAAUAAAAAUUGUACUAACAGAAACCCCAGCAAGGCCCUUUCGUCUUGCAGUGUCUCACAUUAAAUGAUUUGCAGUUACUCCUCCGUGAGUCCAAUCCUCAGUGGUAGAAGUGUGAUAUGCUGUAGGAGUCUGAAGGCUGUGUAAAUAGGGGCUGCUUUUGAAAGCAGUCAGUUUAAACUAAGUACACUAGACUGCAGUUACAUAAGUUAAAAAUUAAAUUCUGGCUCUCCUCUCUCUAUUGUUCUCUGUGCUCAAAGGGAAAAAUAUUCUUCUGAAACCUAUAGCAGGGAAGGGAGGGCCACGCUUCAGCCAAACAAUGUGACCAAAAUCUAAAGGUCAGUUUUCCUGCAGAAAGCAGGAAAAGCAAGUGAGAGACAUGACAUUGACUUUGAGAGAGCAAGUUGCUCUCCUCCUUAAACCACUUGGAGCACAAUUAGGGAAGUCCCUUCUCCUGAGAGAAGAAAUGUCACCUCUUUACUAGAGGCCAUGGGACAAGGAGUGUGUGUGUAUACUAUAUAUAUAUAUAUAUAAAAUAAUAUAUAUAUUUCUACACUGUAUGUAGUUUGGACUCUCCUGUAUAAACUCUGGAUAUUCUUCAGGAAAAGUGCAAGGCCUCAGGGAGUGCCUCCCCUCAGCAACUUUUCUAACAUCUUUAUUUUUUCAGGGCUAACCCUAGAAAACCAUGCUCCUUUUCCAUGAAACACCCACCUAUAAACUGAAGCUUCCUCUGACAUGUAUCAUGCUACGGGUUCAAAUACACCCUGUGGCUAUCGUGGUAGCUUGCUCAGCUUUUGACAGUGUGUAAAUGUGUAAUAGGCAUUCAAAUGUACCCCCAAGUCUGUAUGGUCAACAUGUUAGCACAGGAGGACAAAACUCUUAUGAAUUCCAAUUCCCCAUUUUGGCCAUUUAAGUUCACACUUACUUCCUCUCAAUCUUUCUCUGCUUUUUGCCUUUUUAACUUUCUAAGGUUUACACCAACCAAAUUCGGUGCUGGCAAACUGCAGAGCUGUAGAACUGCUCACAAGUUCAUAGGUUUUCCUUUAAGCAGGAUGUGGCAGCAGUGAUGGUGUCUCUCCAGCAGUAAAGACUAUUAGAGGCCAAAAGAAAAAUCAAUGAGUCCCUCCUCAGGCAGCAAUCUGUGGGAUGGUGACCUGGGACCGCAUCCUGAACCUCAGGACCACAUCCUGAUGGUCCUGAGGCUGAACCAAAGCAGAAUACCAAGCGCUACGAUUAAUUAUCACCUGUCCUGCAAUGUCAAAGGUCCCACGUAACCUAGUGCCACCACCUGAAGUCACAAAUGCCUCAUUCUCAGAGGCAUUCUAUUAAAAGGCAUCCUCAGGAGCAAUAUAUUAAUCCCUCAAAAAGUUCUUGACAGUGAUUUAAGUUUGAAUCCACAAUUUGACCUACUAAGCUUGUGAAAAUCACAAGCAAUCAGUGCUGCUCGAGACUGGAAAAGAGAAUGCCUAAAUUAGGCAAGAAUUUUUCCUUUCCCCUCCCUCUCUUCAAGCUUGCAAUAAAUUGGACAAAGCAAUCUGGGUUCAGUGGUUUCUCUACCAUCAUCCAAUGGCAAGCUGCGAAUUCCCACAUGUAUGUACAGAGAAACAAGUCAAAACCAAGCUGUUAAUCAACAGUAACAACUCUAGCACAAUUUGGAUCAUGGCUAGAACAUGUAAUGAGCAUGUGGGCAUCACCAGUAGCUCUCAACAGCACGUAGAGAUUUAUCCUUUGUUGUCUCCAUGCCAGGGGCUGUUGUGAACAGUUCUGGAUACUGCAUCAACUAAAACCCUGACAGAGGAAGGUAAUGCAACUGGCAAGGAACUAGGUCUCAGUAACGCUGUCUACACACAAGAUCUGCUCUCCAUUCCCUCCCACAGGCUUCCUGUAGAGUAAAGCAUAAAUUCUUAUUCGCAAGGAACUCAAUGUACUGGCUUCAAUAUCCCUAAAAGACAUUUUCUCAAGCUCUGUGGGACAACCAUAGCCAGUGAACUUUGAUGUCCAAAGUACAAAUAAUUCAUCUGUACAACAAAGACUUCCCUGGAGGCCUGCUCUAGACAGUGCAGAAAACUCUUAUAGAAACUGUCUGCCGUUAUCAUCAUCUGCUUUAAAUACACAGCAAGUUUAUUUAAACUUACCUCCCCUAACAAACCUAGGGCACCUGCACUUAUACAAACAUGUUUUGUACCUACAAACAACAUACAAAGCUUCCAAAAGAAAACAUUCCUUGAAAUACACUUAAGACCAAACAUGUGACUGGUAUUUGUCACAAUCCAUAUCACACCACUGUCAUUUAUUCACCUGCCAAGGGAGGCUUCUCAGCAUGAGCCUAUACUGGGUAACAUGCUACUAGCAUCUUCUGCUGCAUCUGUAGCCAACAGUCUCGAGUAGCAGAAUUUUAACACUGAACUUGAAUUUUGACAAUAAGGAAGCCAGAGUUGAACUCAGAAAUGUACAUCAGUGGCUCUGACAACAAGAAAACCUGGAACUGCAGAGAAACAACAACAGAAGAUGCCAUUACCAAAGCAUUUGUGCUUUUUCCUGGCGACGCUCAGAGCUUUUCCCCCACCUCACAGAGCUCUCUUUUUAAAUUAUUUCUUCCCACUGACGUGUCUCUUUAUUCCUUCGGUGCAAGACUGCUUGCAAGUCUUAUUACAGUCAGGGUUGCUAGAUGGCUGAAGGUUAUCCCUUUUUUAGGGGCAGAGCGUGCACAGAUCUAUAUCCUUAAGAAUAAACACGCAAUCUUCAGAUGGCCACAGAACCCACAACUUUUCACACAUAAAUACUUGACUGAAUCAAGUGAGACUCACUAAAAAAAAAAUAUGUUUGAGGCACCUGUAACACAGGACACACUUCCUAGCUGAACACUUCAAUUAAGGACUUCUUCCAAACCUGCAUUUUGGAACCGACUCCUGUGUUCAGUAAAUAUUCUCAUUUCACAGAAGCGAUCAGUUUUAGCAAGCUGCAACGAAAAGAGUCAAGAAGCACCACGAAACAAAA